rnacentral:tRNA from 1 species
GCGGUCAUGGUUUAGUGGUAGAACAUCUCCUUGCCAAGGAGGAGGCGCGGUUUCGAUUACCGCUGGCCGCACAA